rnacentral:rRNA from 1 species
UGGGGAAUAUUGGACAAUGGGCGAAAGCCUGAUCCAGCCAUGCCGCGUGUGUGAAGAAGGUCUUCGGAUUGUAAAGCACUUUAAGUUGGGAGGAAGGGCAUUAACCUAAUACGUUAGUGUUUUGACGUUACCGACAGAAUAAGCACCGGCUAACUCUGUGCCAGCAGCCGCGGUAAUACAGAGGGUGCAAGCGUUAAUCGGAAUUACUGGGCGUAAAGCGCGCGGAGGUGGUUUGGUAAGUUGGAUGUGAAAUCCCCGGGCUCAACCUGGGAACUGCAUUCAAAACUGACUGACUAGAGUAUGGUAGAGGGUGGUGGAAUUUCCUGUGUAGCGGUGAAAUGCGUAGAUAUAGGAAGGAACACCAGUGGCGAAGGCGACCACCUGGACUAAUACUGACACUGAGGUGCGAAAGCGUGGGGAGCAAACA